rnacentral:rRNA from 1 species
GACGGAGGGGGCUAGCGUUGUCCGGAAUUACUGGGCGUAAAGCGUGUGUAGGCGGAUGGCUAAGUCUGGGGUUAAAGACCGGGGCUUAACCGCGGAGCGGCCUUGGAUACUGGUGAUCUCGAGUAUGGGAGAGGUUGCGGGAAUUCCGAGUGUAGAGGUGAAAUGCGUAGAUAUUCGGAAGAACACCUGAGGCGAAGGCGGGUAACUGGACCAUAUCUGACGCUGAGGCACGAAAGCGUGGGGAGCAAAUAGG